rnacentral:rRNA from 1 species
ACGGGUGCGUAACGCGUGGGAAUCUGCCCCUUGGUUCGGAAUAACAGUUAGAAAUGACUGCUAAUACCGGAUGACGACGUAAGUCCAAAGAUUUAUCGCCGAGGGAUGAGCCCGCGUAGGAUUAGCUAGUUGGUGUGGUAAAGGCGCACCAAGGCGACGAUCCUUAGCUGGUCUGAGAGGAUGAUCAGCCACACUGGGACUGAGACACGGCCCAGACUCCUACGGGAGGCAGCAGUGGGGAAUAUUGGACAAUGGGCGCAAGCCUGAUCCAGCAAUGCCGCGUGAGUGAUGAAGGCCUUAGGGUUGUAAAGCUCUUUUACCCGUGAUGAUAAUGACAGUAGCGGGAGAAUAAGCCCCGGCUAACUCCGUGCCAGCAGCCGCGGUAAUACGGAGGGGGCUAGCGUUGUUCGGAAUUACUGGGCGUAAAGCGCACGUAGGCGGCUUUGUAAGUUAGAGGUGAAAGCCUGGAGCUCAACUCCAGAACUGCCUUUAAGACUGCAUCGCUUGAAUCCAGGAGAGGUGAGUGGAAUUCCGAGUGUAGAGGUGAAAUUCGUAGA